UACGUAGGGGGCUAGCGUUGUCCGGAUUUAUUGGGCGUAAAGAGCGUGUAGGCGGCCAGAUAUGUCUGCUGUGAAAACUCGAGGCUCAACCUCGAGAUGUCGGCGGAAACCAUUUGGCUAGAGUCCGGAAGAGGAAAGUGGAAUUCCUGGUGUAGCGGUGAAAUGCGCAGAUAUCGGGAGGAACACCAGCGGCGAAGGCGGCACUCUGGGCUGGAACUGACGCUGAGGCGCGAAAGCCAGGGGAGCAAACGGG
rnacentral:rRNA from 1 species